rnacentral:rRNA from 1 species
AUUGAACGCUAGCGGGAUGCCUUACACAUGCAAGUCGAACGGAGUGGCGAACGGGUGAGUAAUGUAUCGGAACGUGCCCAGUAGCGGGGGAUAACUACGCGAAAGCGUAGCUAAUACCGCAUACUAUUGGCGCGGCCGAUCACGGAUUAGAUAGUUGGUGGGGUAACGGCUCACCAAGGCGACGAUCCGUAGAGGGUUUGAGAGGACUACCAGCCACAAUGGCACUGAGACACGGCCCAUACUCCUACGGUAGGCAGCAGUGGGGAAUUGUGGACAAUGGGGGAAACCCUGUUUCAGCCAUCCCGCGUGUGUGAUGAAGGCCUUCGGGUUGUAAAGCACUUUUGGCAGGAAAGCGGUACCUGCAGAAUAAGCACCGGCUAACUACGUGCCAGCAGCCGCGGUAAUAC